UUUCACUUAUGUUAGCAAGCUCAAAGCGGCACAUUUCACCUAAAUCCAAAUGGAUUUCUACCCUGUUAAAUUUCACUCUGUCUCAUUCCCCCCUUUCCCUAAGAUGAUAAGUAAAUUCUUUUACUUAAUGCAAAUCUUUACAUUAGUAAGUGUCCCUUAAUGCUUCACUAUGUAGAUUUGUCCUACUAGGCACAAUUACAGUAGUACAAGGAGUUCUCAAGCAUACACAAUCUUUACUAGUAUAUACAAGCACAGUUUUCUGAUCAGUGACUGGAUGAAUCUCGAAGUGGCACAUAAACAGUGGUAUUGAGUACAGUAAUACUAAGGUAGUGGCCACAUUAGUAGCAGGAUCAUAGGUUACAGAUGUUUUUCACCCCCUCCCAUAUGAUCAAAGCUGCUGUUGCCUGCAUCCAAAACUGUGCUUGUAUAAAAUUGAAAGCUAAAGACAUGUUAUCUUGAACCAUACCAAGUGCUUCUACUAUUAACUUGUGAUUUUGGACCCUGGCCUUUUAGGGAUAACUGUAGGGGUUGUUUUUAGUUUGCCAGUCCACCUGCUGCAGUGGCCAGCUCUCUCAUAAAUUCAGCAUACUGAUUAGAACCUGGGACCAAGGCCAUUGAGCAUUGUUUUGGGAUAGAGGUAUUCCAGGAUUUCAAUUACAAUUAUACACAAAGCAAUUCUAUAAAUAAAAUUACAAACUACCCCCCCUCCCCCCAGUACACUCAUUUUGCCUGAAUAAGUUUUAGUCUCAGUUCAUUGUCUCUUGGUGUUAGUUUCCAAGGGGCUUCUGGGGCUGCUGUAUGUUAUGUACUGUUUCACCUAACUCCUUGCUCUGAGUUGCAGGUACAUGUAAUAUUAUGACUGGAACUCCAAAAGCAGUAUUAUUUACUCUGAUAACUUUGACAGUUCUGGUGGGGAAUGUUUCUGGCCACACUGAAAAUGUAUUUGCCAAUACUCAUAAAUACUUACACCCCCCUUUCUAUGGGGGUUUUGAAAAGCCAAUUUACCACUGCUGUCUGGAUCCAUUGCCCCUCCCAAUCUGACCAAGUUUUGUCUGGGGUAUUCUUGGGGUUAGUUUGGAGGCAAGGAUCACUGUUAGUUCACCUGGCAUAUAAGUUCCUGGCAAUGAUCCUUUAAAUCAGAUAUGUGUUAUAAAAAGCCUGUGGAAACUGCCACUUAGUUUCGAUGCAGUCUGUAACACUGGCAACCUUGGUUAUUUUGGGAAAGGAGCCACACUUUAUAAAAGCUUUUAAGUAGUUAGGCCCCAGUGUGUUUUCUGGUGCUCCUCCCUUACUAGUGACCACACGUAUGGGAAAGGAUUUCUAGCUCCUUUUCAAUGGUAGCUCACCCUUCUUCAUUAUAUGUCCCUUUUGAUUAGUAUUAUUAUUUUCUGGAUUACUUUAAAGGAAAUCUGUCCAUAAUUACCUCACCCUUUGCUGCUUUCUUUGCCUUCCAUCCACCAGCUCAUUUCUUUUUCCCAAUUCUGAGCUCACUCUCUUGUGUGCUUUAAUAUGCAUACUUCUAGCAGCCAGAUUAUCUCUUGUGCAUAUCUGAUGUUCUUUCCUUGUGAGGUUAGCAAUCCCCUCUCUCUCUCUAGACCGCUCCAUGUGUGUGCACAACUCUGAAUGCAUACCUAGAGUCUGUUUGCCAUUUCUAAGGCAUGGGACAGUGCAAUAAUCUUGGCCUUCUGCGCAGAGGUGCCUGUUGGUAAGGGUCCGAAUGCUAUUACCUCUCUGCAGGUAGUGACUGCAUAUUCAGCAUGUCGCUUUCCACUGGCAACGUAGCUGCUCCCAUCAGUGAACCAGGUCUCUGCAUCAUCUAAAGGAGUGUCCUUCAAGUCUGGGCGGUUUGAGGGCUGAAACCAGGACCGGCUGGAGAACACGCUGCCAAGUCCUAAAGACGCCUUCAGAGAGAGAGCUGCAAUUGGCUGAGUCAAGGCUGAGACACCGCUGUGUUUCCAGACACGGGGAGGAGACCAAGGAUGACAGCUCCUCUGAAAACUAUCAGUUGUGAAUUGCUUAGGCGGGACCUUUUGGCUUCUGUCCAGGAGAGAGUUGAUGGUGGCGUAUGUAAAGUUUGCCUGUUUGACCACCCAGCACUCUAGAUGGUGUAAUUCACCUAGAGCUUUGGCUGCUGCAACCCAUGGAAGGAACAGGCACACAGCAACUCUUUUUGACUUGGCCCAAUGAAAAAUUUCUGAGUUACAAUUUGGUCCAGAUUGUCUGCACUCCUCUUUUGAAUUUUGUUUGCCGAUUUGUUUUUGUGAGUACAUUCACCAAUUAGAGUUUGGUUGCGUGUCAAUACGGACAACCGCCCUAUGGUACAUGGCUCUCCUGAAAGCCAAGAUGAAAUUCCUGCCCAUGCCCGAUCCCCACAAAUCAAUAACAAUCCCUUAGGCAGGCCUUUGGGACUUGAGUGAGAUGGGUUGUCUGCCACAGUAUGGCUUAUAUUAUGACACCACCUUUUUGCAGUAAACUCCCCACGAUAUUGUCUUAUGAUGUGGUACUCAUUAGUGCUAGAAAGUUUUGGGAGGACUGAAAAAUUUAUGCAGUAAGAUGCAGGGGAAGAACCCAAUAGCUCUAACUCUUGGGGUUCCUGAGCUAUCUUGGGCAAACUUUGCAACCCCUCCUCUAAGGGUUUCAUCAUCACCACAGCUUGCCUAUUAUGAUCUUUGUGUGGUCGGGGGUGUGCGAUUCUGGAAUUUCGUUGGAUCUAUAUUUGUCCAAACCUGCUGGAAAUUCUCCAGCCUGCAAUGGAAUUCCUACCAGACAGGUGGACAUAGGAUUCUUUGCUGUUGCAGUAGACAAACUUAUGUUUUCCUGCUGAAGCGUCUGUGCCAGGGUCACUCAGAUGUUUUGACACAGCUGGGGGACAAUCCAUGCAGCUGUCAGACUGUUCAGCAUUAGCAAGAUGAUAACUUGGAUGGGGUUCAUCACAGGGUUGAGUGGGAGGUAGGUUUUCUCUAAAAAGGAAAAAGAAACAUUUUUAAAACAUGUUAAAAGUUUCUGUUUCUGCCAGACGGAAUUCACACCUAGGAAAAUUCUCUUUCCUCCAUCCGGCAGUGUCUUCUCUUUGAAGCAUCAGCUAUUUGCUUGUCAUCCUCUUCUGCUUGAGCUGGAUUUUUAGCGACAAAAGAUUUCACCCACUUCUGGGGAAUCCACGGAGGGCCUGAGGGAGUAGCCACACAGGCAUAGCCACGACCACAGGUCACGAGCUCAUAGGGACCUUUGGUUUCCCAAGUUUCUAGAUCCCUAAUCAAGAUCGGUGGAUGAUGAGACAAUUUGAACUGAUUGCCACUGUAAAAUGACGUACCAUGGGUGGACUCAUGUUUUCAAAUGAACAGUUCAGAAAACUGAUGGCUUUGCAGAGCUUCUGCUGUGGAGACAUCCACACAGCUGAACUGCUCUGUCUAGCCAAGACCUGCUUGAGCAUCUGGUAUGUGUAAGGGGCUAACAGCGGGCCUGUUAGCAAAGGAGCAAGAAGAAGCUGAGAAGCAAGAAGAAGCUGAUAAGAGGCUUUCUCCAAGGCUGUUACCAAGGAGACCAAGAGAAUAGAGGAACUGAAAAAAGUUAGAGAGGGAACUUUGCAGCUGGACAAAGUAUUUUUAGAAAGUUAGCUGAAGUCACUGUUACUUUUCACCAAUGGUGUUAAGAAGCAAGGGACUUCUUAUAAAAUCAGGAAUGCUGGACAGGAAAAACGCAGAUCAAGCCCAUAUGGUUAAUCAUACGUUCUCCUUUAUUGUUUAUAAGAUGGCAGUUUAUAUACACUUCAAUAUAGUUUACAAUUGUGAGAACACUCUCAUUGGCAAGCAAACAUUGUCUUUGUCUUAAGGUGCUUAAAGUUUCACACUGCAGACCUAUACUAAUUCACACCCAGAAAGCUCAUUAAACUGUGUUCACCUUAACAUAAUUUCUAACUGCGCCACAGACUAAUUUCUUGCUGCGUCAUAGGCUUCAAAGGCCUCGCCAAGGCCCAUAUCUGAGGCCUAGACUGGGGUAGCUCAACCUUCAUUCUAAAUAUAAAUCGUGUCCUCUAUCUCUCAGAAAUCCUGCUACAAUUACCUCUUUUUCUUUUUAAGCUACCCAGAUUGACUUAAAGGCGCGGUUAGUCAUUUUCUGCCUGCAGUGUAAUAAACAAGGUAUAAAGACUAGAAUAAUUAUAAUAAGAAGAAAAAGUACAAUACCAAAACAAACUAAAUCUUUGACCCAACCAGCAAAACCUAAAGAAUUGAGCCAGUUAGCAAACGGAGUGUCUACUAUGACAAUUUUCUUCAUAUUGUCCUUCAGUUGCGUUAACUGUUUGUAAAUCGAUUGAGAGUUGUCAGAUAAAUUCAUGCAACACAUGCCUUCAAAUUCUUCACACCCAUGUCCUUGUGUGAAAAGAAGGAAAUCAAUGGCAGCUCUGUUUUUAAGAACUGCAUGUCAGAUGCUCUCUACAUCUGUGGCAAACUCACUUAGCAUUUUAGAUGUAAUUUUAAUUUGCUUUCCUGUCCAGCAGGCCAGGGUCUUCAAUUGCGUGAGAGCUUGCACUGAAGCAACUCCUGGGGGGAAAAUUGAGGCUAGUAUUACAGAUGUGCGCCCCCAUCAUGAUAUUUGAUCUAUACAGUUGGGGUCUAACUGGAGAACACUCCAUUUGGCUCAUUGAGGAUUCUGGGGCAAUCCAAGAAUCUGAUGAAUGGUGGAAGCAAACAGUGUUAAUUUACCAACGUAGCAUGGGCCUCCCAUGGCUUUUUGAGGCACUGCAGAUCAGGCUCGAUCCCCACAAAUGAGGAAAAUCCCUGGUGGCAGUUUUCUUGGGGCAGUUUUUGGUGGUAUCAUGGAUUGUGUCCAAUCGUUACAAUAUUCUGAGAAGUUAUAAUGCAAUGGAGAUCUGGGAGACAACCAAGUGUUGUCAUCUGUUGUCUGUCUUUCUUUUUGGGUUGGUUUUGUAGCAUGAGGUCCAAAUAUCAAACAGUAUUUUCCUCGGAAAGAACCCAAAAGAUCGAAUUCUUGAGGUUUGACAUUAAUAAAUAUAAGAUUUUGCACAAAUGCAAUAGCUUGCGCUCCCAGAACACUUUUUGGAUUUAUUCUGGCCAGAGUCCAAGCUUUGAACUCUGCCAUGGAACCCAGUGGAACUCCAAUUAAACAAGUACAAAAAUGAUUGGAUGGUGUAGUUAACGACAGGCAGAAUGAAUCCUGCCCAGUUUGUUUGGCCCAAGUGAUCCACAUGUUUUGUCUCUUGUCAAUGUCAAGCAUUCCAAAUACUUUAGUUACUAAAAAACUGCUGAACAAAAACACUCUGAGCCAUCACAUAUUUCUCAUGUUCUUGAUUGCCCUGUUUAACAUGAAAGGAACAAACUUAAAUCUAAAUACAAAGUAUAACUUAUGAUAAACUUAAUGUCAUGCUUAUGAUCCUCUAACUUAUUUUCCUGUACUCUACAAAGUUAAUAUUCAUCAGAACUAGGUUUGUCACAGGAUGUUCCCGGUAAGUUGUUGUUGUCAACGUUGUUAUCACUGUUGGCUGGUGUCUCUGCCUGUGGACACACACGUGUAAAUCUGUUCGGCACCCACACUGGACCAGUACCUGUUGAGACACACAUAUAACCUCUACCAUUAAACAACACAGGACUUGGUCCUUGCCAUUCACCUGUUCGCAUGUCCUUGUGAUAAACAUAAAGUCUUGAAAUUGCUUGUGGUCUUCCCUCUUUCACUGCCUGGUGGUGUAUUACAACCGCCGGUUCUUCUCUACCUUCUGCCAAACACAAAUAAUUUAGUGUAAACAAUACUUUUGACAAUCUAUUAAAUACAUCAGUCUCAUCAUUUUGCUUUUGUUUUGCUAGAUAUUCUUUCAGGGUAUGAUUGGGUCUUUCUACAACAGCUUGACCUGUAGACGAGUGAGGGAUCCCUGUGGUAUGUUUCACCCCCCACUUUUGCAGAAAUGUAGCAAUUUGUUGACUAACAUAAAAUGGAGCAUUGUCGGUCUUAAUUUCUACAGGGAAAGGCAAAUAAAUGUCUUUUUACAUGCAGAGCCUUUUCCCCUGUCUGUGCUGUUGCCCAAAUGAAUUUCAAAUAGGUAUCUACAGUGACAUGGACAUAUUUCAGCCUACCAAACUCGGGAACAUGAGUUACAUCCAUCUGCCACAGCUCUAAAGCUUUCAGUCCCCUUGGAUUUGUGCCAAGUCCGAGGCCAGGCCCAUAAUGACUACAUUGAGGGCAGGCACGGACAAUCCCCUGUGCAUCAUUCAUGGGGAUCUGAAAUUGUCAGUGCAUGGCUCUUGCAUUUUGAUGAAAUAUCACAUGACUGUUGCGUGCUCUCUCAAACUUAUUCUGUGGGGGAACAUGGACAGCAUAACUGACCACAGCAUCCACCAAUGCGUUGCCUUCUCCUAAACCGCUGUUACAUUGAUGGCUUCAAAUGUGCAUGAUACAAAAGACAUGCUGGCGCUGUUUCAGCACACUCCACAACUGCAGGAACAGUUCUCCAAGAUGUUGGUUUUGAGUUCUUCUGAGGAGUGCAUCUUCAAUCCUUUUGCACAACUCCAACUACAUAUAAUGAGUCAGAAACGACGAUGAGUGGUUCCUUGUUCCAGGUUUGGAAAGCCCAACACAUGGCCUUCAACUCAAGGGUUUGUAGACUAUCUUUUACAUCACUUUUGAUUAAAUGUUUCAACCAUUUCCCUCGUUGUUGCCAAACACACACAGCUCUUUUGGUCUUUGGCUGGCAUUGGUAAAAACUGUCUUUCCCUCAAGUGGUUUCAAUGAACACAAGGGUCUUUCCAACCACUGGUAACAUUUGAUGAAAUACCACAUCGGGCCUUUCGGUUGUUUGUUGUGCACCACUCCUGUAAAACCUAACAAUGCUUCUUGCAGUGCAACAGAGUGUCUGAGCAGCCAUUCUAGAUCUUCAUUUUUCACAGGAACACUGAUGUCCACUGGUUCUUUUCCAUCCAUUUCUAAAAUUCUGUCUCUGCCCUUUCGUAUCAAUGCAGCAAGAGCAUCUGUCCUGCUCAUCACACGACUUUUUGGUUGAACAGGUAAAAACAUGCAUUCCAACAGAAUCGCUGCUGAACCAGGUUGGAACUCCCUCUUUUUCUUUUGCCAUUGAAAAACAAUAGCAAGUAGACAGGCAUCAGCGUUGGAAAGGAUCAGUGACAAUGGCAAAUGUUCAAUGCGACGAGCACUCCAGCCAUGUUGUAAUUUCUCUGAAACUCAAAUCAGAGCUCUUUGUUUUUCAGGGGUACAAAAUCAAGGACUGUUGGCAUCAUUGCCAUGGAGCCAUGGCAAAAAUGGUUGUAGAUCAUCAUUGGUGAUUCCUACAAUGGUACAAACUCACUGUAGGUCGCCAAAGAGUCUCUGAGCGUCAUGUAAGGUAGAAAUGUCAAUGUGUAAGGUAAUUUUCUGAGGUCAAAUUUGUGCAUCUGUGAUCAGCUAUCCUAAGUAUUUCCAAGGAGCUGAUCGCUGAACUUCUUCUGGAGAUACUGUCAGUCCAUGAUGCUUCAAUUGUGAAAAGAGCCAAUUUAAAUCUGCAUCUGCCAAUAGCUGUUAGGUGGAAAUGAGAAUGUCAUCCAUAUAAUGAUUUGCUGUGAUGGAUAGGGUUUUUGAAGUUGUUGCUUGACAAAGAAGCUGCAAAGAUGUGUCCUUGUUGUUGCAUUGCAUCCUGGAUGGCUGAUGUGAAUGCUGCAGCUUGAUUGCUUUGUUCUGCUCAUGUGGCUCUAACAAGCAUCUCAUCGACUGGACAGCCUUGAGGAAUAGUGGCCAAAAUGGUUCCUGUAUGUGAGUUAGCAUUUUCUAAGGCAAGUGAGUGUGUGGUAGAUAGGGACAGGCGAACGGAAGAUCACGGGAUGUGACGGAAAGAGAGACUCUUCCCCCCUUCUCCCUGCCUCACGCUAUCUAUUAACCCCAAAGCAUGUGACCACACCUAACCCAGUAGUUUUCCACUCCCGACUAACCCUUGAGACCCCAAACCCCCCUCUGACGUAGCAAAGACCCCCAAGACUAUUUAAACCCACGAGAUAAGAUAAUAAAGGCUUUCGA